GACGAACGCUGGCGGCGUGCUUAACACAUGCAAGUCGACAUGCGUGGCGAACGGGUGAGUAAUACGUGGGUAACCUGCCCUCCUUUUUGGGCUAAGCCUUGGAAACGGGGUCUAAUACCGAAUAAAGGGGGAUGGGCUCGCGGCCUAUCAGCUUGUUGGUGGGGUGAUGGCCUACCAAGGCGGUGACGGGUAGCCGGCCUGAGAGGGUGACCGGCAACAUUGGGACUGAGAGACGGCCCAGACUCCUACGGGAGGUAGCAGUGGGGGAUAUUGCAACAUGGGCGAACGACUCAUGCACCGACGACGAGGCGGGGCUGAACGUGUUCGGGUUGUAAAGCAGUUGCGACAGCGAAGGGGUACCUGGACAAGAAGCGCCGGCUAACUACGUGCCAGCCGCCGCGGUAAUAC
rnacentral:rRNA from 1 species